UACGAAGGGGGCUAGCGUUGUUCGGAAUCACUGGGCGUAAAGGGCGCGUAGGCGGCUUUGUAAGUCGGGGGGUGAAAGCCUGUGGCUCAACCACAGAAUUGCCUUCGAUACUGCAUGGCUUGAGACCGGAAGAGGUAAGUGGAACUGCGAGUGUAGAGGUGAAAUUCGUAGAUAUUCGCAAGAACACCAGUGGCGAAGGCGGCUUACUGGUCCGGUUCUGACGCUGAGGCGCGAAAAGCGGUGGGGGA
rnacentral:rRNA from 1 species